UGGGGGAUAUUGCACAAUGGGCGAAAGCCUGAUGCAGCGACGCCGCGUGGGGGAUGAAGGCCUUCGGGUUGUAAACUUCUUUUGCUCUGAACAAGGCGCACCAUGGGGUGUGUUGAGUGUAGGGGUUGAUUAGCGCCGGCUAACUACGUGCCAGCAGCCGCGGUAAUACGUAGGGCGCGAGCGUUGUCCGGAAUUAUUGGGCGUAAAGGGCUUGUAGGUGGCUGGUUGCGUCUGUCGUGAAAGCUCAUGGCUUAACUGUGGGUUUACGGUGGGUACGGGCUGGCUUGAGUGCAGUAGGGGAGGCUGGAAUUCCUGGUGUAGCGGUGGAAUGCGCAGAUAUCAGGAGGAAUACCGGUGGCGAAGGCGGGUCUCUGGGCUGUUACUGACACUGAGGAGCGAAAGCAUGGGGAGCGAACAGG
rnacentral:rRNA from 1 species